CUUUGCAUGAGGGUGGUAGCAUAUCAGCAAAGGAGCACAAUAAAAUUAUGCUAACUAUUAAGGCAGUGACUCAACCCAACAUGAACAAUUUACUGCAAAAUUAAAAUUGACAUCAUGACCAUAUGCAAUGUUCAGCCGACUAACACAGAUCUAGUUGCCAGGAAGAGCUGUGCUCUAAAAAAAUGACUACCAGCUGUUUCAUAUAUAUAUGCUGCUUUCCAUGAAAACUUGAUAGAAAUUCUGAAUAGCAUCUUUGGGAAGCAGAGCAUAAUUAAUGCAAAAAAGAAACAUUAGCAGAAACAAAAGCUAUUUUAUGACAACCUUUGACUAUCUCCAACUCUUCUGAAAAGCCUGAGUUCCUAGAGUAAUGCAAAGGAAAGGCUUAUACAGCACUCACAGCAAAAGAACAACUCUGUAAAUGUGCAGACCAUAAAGAGAGAGAAAUGAAAAUAAAAGCAAAAAAUUAUCUUUUAAGAAAUUGUGAAUUCUAAGCUGCUCUCAAGGUUUUGGAGUGAUUUCAUAGUAUUCCAAAUGUAACUUUAAAUUAGAAAGAAUCCUUUUGACUUAGAGGCUUGUCUGGGAGCCCACUGCAUAUUAACCAAACUCUGCUGAAGGUCAUAGAUUAUAAAACUGAAAGGACAAUAUGAGAAGAAUAAGGAUCAAACCAGAUCAAAAUAUUUAUAUCUUUGUUAGCAGGCACGUUCUGGGGUGCACUUUACAGUUCUGAAAAUAGUCACAAACCUUAGUUUCCUCCUGUAGGGGCUGCAACCAUACUACUGUAGUCUGAAGAGAAACCAGAGGGUGACAGGCAGUAGGAGCACUGCUGUGUGUAUCUCACAUAGGGCAACCAAGACAUUACGACUUCAUGAAGACCCUGCAGAGCACACCUGCUUCAGUUGUUAUAGAAUAUUUUUGUCCCAGAUGGAAAGCAAAGUUGAGGUAUUCUCAUUCCCACUGUCUGAUAAACAUUAACAACUGCUGACUUUUUAAAUGACAAUAAAUAUUCCAUAAAAAACAACAAAAGACAGGAGAAGCACAAUUGCACCUUUAAAACCUCAGAGGGAUAAGGAUACAUGCUUCUCCACAUAAUGGACAAAAGAGCCAUCUAGAGGCAUAUCUCAUGUGCUACUGUUCAGCAUUCAGCAAAUGAACUUGAAGAACUUGAAGAACCCCUUCCAACUGUCCCUG
ensembl:lncRNA